GUGCACCAGUCGCGAAUAGUCUACAAUGGACGAAAGUCUGAUAGUGCGACGCCGUGUGUGCGAUUAAUUCCUUCGGGAUGUAAAGCACUUUUCUAUGAGAUAAAAGCUCUUUAGGUUAAUAGCUUAUUGAGACGGAUAUUAUUAUAGGAAUAAGCUCCGGCUAACUCCGUGCCAGCAGCCGCGGUAAUACGGAAGGAGCGAGCGUUGUCCGGAUUUACUAGGCGUAAAGGGCUAGUAGGCGACUAAUUAAGUUAUAUGUUAAAUCCCACGGCUCAACUGUGGUCCUGCAUGUAAUACUGGUUAGAUAGAGUACUGUAGAGGAAGGCAGAAUUCCUGGAGUAGCGGUGGAAUGCGCAGAUAUCAGAGAAUACCAAAAGCGAAGGCAGCCUUCUGGGCAGUUACUGACGCUGAAUAGCGAAGGUGUGGGUAGCGAACAGGAUUAGA
rnacentral:rRNA from 1 species